AACGAACGCUGGCGGCAUGCCUAACACAUGCAAGUCGAACGAAGUCUUCGGACUUAGUGGCGCACGGGUGCGUAACGCGUGGGAAUCUGCCCUUAGGUACGGAAUAACUCAGGGAAACUUGUGCUAAUACCGUAUGAUGUCGAAAGACCAAAGAUUUAUCGCCUAGGGAUGAGCCCGCGUAGGAUUAGCUAGUUGGUGGGGUAAAGGCCUACCAAGGCGACGAUCCUUAGCUGGUCUGAGAGGAUGAUCAGCCACACUGGGACUGAGACACGGCCCAGACUCCUACGGGAGGCAGCAGUGGGGAAUAUUGGACAAUGGGCGAAAGCCUGAUCCAGCAAUGCCGCGUGAGUGAUGAAGGCCUUAGGGUUGUAAAGCUCUUUUACCCGGGAAGAUAAUGACUGUACCGGGAGAAUAAGCCCCGGCUAACUCCGUGCCAGCCGCCGCCGUAAUAC
rnacentral:rRNA from 1 species